rnacentral:lncRNA from 1 species
AAAAUUAUUAAGCAAGACACAUGUUUUUAUUCUGAAUCACUAUGAAAGCAUGAAAAGCCUGCUUCCUAAAAUAAAUACACAUUUAUGCAAUUUCAUCUAAAAGCAAAGACAAAAAAAGUGAUCAUCAUUAUCAAAAUAUAUGAGAAUUUAUUUUAAACUUUAGGAUCUAGAUUUGGGGAGUGUUUUCUGCUCAAAGAUCUGAACCAUGCUAAAAUGCAUGAAACUCAAUUGUUUUUAGAGUUAAAAAAUCUUUAAACUGUAUGAUGCAAUGUUAUAAAAUGCAUUGUGAUUAUAUAUUAUGGACAGCUAAAGGAGAUCAAAAGCAGGGAAAGCAAAGAAAUGGAUGGAAACAAAUUACAGGGAAAGGAAUGUAAAUUCAAAGGAAAUGGAGAAAAUUCUUCAGACAUGAACCUAAAGGAAUGAGGCCAUUUUUAAUCAUAAUUUGCUCAUGGGCCUGUGAGCAUCAUGAUACAGUCUGAUAUGUGUUCCUUCCUAGGUAACAAGACCCUACUUGUUCAUGGGACAGGAAGAACCAUCACAAAGGACUCCCGUUCUCAUCUAGAAUUGGUUAUCUUCCAUAAUUCCAAGCAAACUGAAAACAGAGGAAAGGAGAUGAAUCACAUGCUUAAAGUCACAAAGCUGGUAAACCAAGCUGAGCCACUCUCAACAUCGCCAAACCAUGUCCGUGUGGCCAGAACUUUAAAAUGCUGCAUAAACAAGUCUUAAGUAAAAAAAUCACAGUGGGAGAGGGUUUUUUUUUUUGUGUGUUACAGUGGAUUAAGCCACAUCUCUGGAU